GACGAACGCUGGCGGCGUGCCUAAUACAUGCAAGUCGAACGCUGAAGGAGGAGCUUGCUUCUCUGGAUGAGUUGCGAACGGGUGAGUAACGCGUAGGUAACCUGCCUGGUAGCGGGGGAUAACUAUUGGAAACGAUAGCUAAUACCGCAUAAGAGUAGAUGUUGCAUGACAUUUGCUUAAAAGGUGCAAUUGCAUCACUACCAGAUGGACCUGCGUUGUAUUAGCUAGUUGGUGGGGUAACGGCUUACCAAGGCGACGAUACAUAGCCGACCUGAGAGGGUGAGCGGCCACACUGGGACUGAGACACGGCCCAGACUCCUACGGGAGGCAGCAGUAGGGAAUCUUCGGCAAUGGACGGAAGUCUGACCGAGCAACGCCGCGUGAGUGAAGAAGGUUUUCGGAUCGUAAAGCUCUGUUGUAAGAGAAGAACGAGUGUGAGAGUGGAAAGUUCACACUGUGACGGUAUCUGACCAGAAAGGGACGGCUAACUACGUG
rnacentral:rRNA from 1 species